rnacentral:lncRNA from 1 species
UAGAGAGGGGGCAAGAAGAUAGAGAUUAGAGUAUGAUUGAUUACAAUAAAUUGGUUAACAUCCCAUGAUGUUCAAUAUUUGCUUAACAAAAAAACUUAGAUAACAUCCAAAGUAUUGAAAAAUAUUCAUAGCAAACUAAUAAUGAGUUAGUGCAUCUUCUAAACUUGUAUCUUCACUAAAGAAUGAACAAAGGUCUGGCAGAAAACUUAAAACUUCAAUCUUUGUCAAGUGAUAUCCAAAACAUCAACAAAACCUACAAGAAAUAAGACAAAUCUGUUAGAGAACUUUACGAUACAUUAACAACGAAUCCUACAUCAUUUUUGAAGAACCACAACUAAAUAGCAUUUGCUAGAAAAUGGCAUUAAAUGGAAUGAAUGAAUAGCAUAAAAGACAAGUUGGAUUAACGAUGCAACUGGCAACAAACAGUAAAACAGAGUAGCUGGAAGCAAACUAUAAAACACACAGCAGUUGCUGGUUGCAGUGUUGCAGCAGUGAGGAAUUUUAAAACCAAAAUUUAUGCCAUUAUGCAGCUUUGCAAAAAAUAAAAAAAUGAGCCAGCAUAAAAAAAAAAUUGAACAGUUGCGAAAAAGUUCACAGUUGCCUCACCUCAGCUCGUCUCCUAGCCUAACCUACUUCGUUUAACCAAAUUCAGAGUUCAAAUUUAGAGAACUUUGAGAUACAUUAACGAAGAAUCCAACAUCUUUUAUGAUGAAUUACAACUAAAUAACAUUUGAUAGAAAAUGGAAAUAAAUGGACUGAAUGAAUAGCAUAAAAGACAAGUUAGAUUAACGACGCAGCUGGCAACAAACAGUAAAACAGAGUAGCUAGAAGCAAACUCUAAAACACAGCAGCUGCUGGUUGCAGUGUUGCAGCAGUGAGGAAUUUUAAAAUCAAAAUUUAUCCCAUUAUGCAGUUUUGCAGAAAAUAAAAAAAAGAGCCAGCAUAAAAAAAAUUUGAACAGUUGCGAAAAAGUUCUAAUAUUGCCUCAACUUAGCUCGUCUCCUAGCCUAACCUACUUCGUUUAACCAAAUUGAGAGUUCAAAUUUAGAGAACUUUCAGAUACAUUAACCAAGAAUCAAACAUCUUUUACGAUGAAUCACAACUAAAUAACAUUUGGUAGAAAAUUUAAAUGGGAGUUCACUUCAACUUAAAAAUGAAUUUAAAUGACAAAUGCUGGCAGUAGGCACUCAAAAAAUUUACAAAGACUUUAGAAUAUUCAGAGGACUUGGGUUGAAAGAAUUGAGAACUCAAAUAUGCACUAAUAAGAAAUUAUAAAGAUUUAACACAAAGACCAAUCUUUAUGGAGGGUUGUGAUCACACAAAAGUUUACUUGAGUUGUGUAGACAGUAGCCUGAGAUGCUCUAAAAAGCUGACUUAAACUUGAUAUCAGUUCUGGUGGUAGUUUUAUGCUUUGCUACUCAAGUUUUACCCAAGCUUACGAAAGCCUCGAUACAUAAGCUUCAUGUGUUUCAUUUUUUCUAUGUUCAGAGCUAUACAAAUGGGAUGGCGGCAAAAUUGGUUUUUAUCAGUUUUGGGAUCACAAAUGAUUGGAGAAAACACCUUGAUCAUUUUAUACAACAUAUAUAGAGUAUUGAGCGAGAGAAAUGAUUGUAGUGAGUAGAAAUGUAGGACACUUGAUGGACGAGUAUACUGGUAUCUGAUGCUCAGAAGAACCUACAAGGUUGAGAUGUGUACAAAUUUCAACGGAAAUACUCUAAAAGUAGAAGACAAAAUAUUCUAGCCAGCACUCAUCAAGUGGGGUUUGUAUUCAUUUACUUAUUAGCUAUUCUAAUGCAAUAAAAUAAAAAGUAGAGGAACUCUUGUUACGCGCAGUUGUGCAUAGAAGUGUCUGAAAAUCGAGCAAUAAGAAGAUGUGCAACAAUGACAAGAAGUCUAGGAAACUUAUGAAUCCUCUGUUAAGCAUAUGAUGUUUUUUAAAUUGCAAGUGCAAGAAAUAACAACAACAAUAUGCCUGGCAGUUAUGCCGAGAAAUAUGUGAAAAUAGAGAAAGAAGAAACUGUGCAGCAGUGUAAAGAAGUCUAGUUAACUAACGGUUCCUCUGUUAAGCAAAUGGUGCUUAUAAAAUUACAUGUACAGGAAACAACAACAACAACAACAACAACAUUUUCGAUACUUGUGUAGAGAAAUGUGUCGAAAACAGAGCAAGAAGAAGAUGGGCAACAGUGAGUAUACAAGGUAGAAGUCGAGGAAAUUCAAAAGUGACUACACAAAUCAACAAAUCAAUUAACCAUGUCAAAUUUAUUCAUAAAUAUUCUCUUCAGAAAAAGAAAACAAAUUAAAGGCGGAAAACUAAACAUUAUGAAGUUAAAGUUACCAACGAUGGUGCUUGAAAUGGGAAGCAGAAAAGAAAGACAAGGAAGUAAAAUUGAGCCAUAGCCAUUGAUUCUUUGUACUACAUUUUCUACUCUAGCCGACUUAUUACGCCAGCUUAUGUAGCUAUUUACAAUAGAGACAAGAAAAAUAUUUUUUUAUAGUACCUGCGGAUAUAUAAUUUCUCGAAUAGGCUAUAGAUACCAAUAUGAUAAGGAAUUGCCAACUUAACUCGAUAUGUUGAUUUUCUUUUGCUUCUUGCGUGUAUUCUUAGACAAUAAGCUUAAAAUGACUAUUAAAAUGUGAAUUCUCAACGAAAUUAGGGGCCAAUAAACUGAAAUAACAUCCAAACUUCAGAUACUCUUAGACCUAAAGAAAUUCUGCAUCGUUAUGAUCUAAUGUGCUAGUGAUCAUCAAAGUAUGAAAUGACGAGUUGUGAAUAUCCUUUUCAAAAACAAGCUUCAAAUACACAUGGAAACUAGCAUCUAUUGAUUUGUGAAUAUCCUUGGGAAAACAAGACUUAAUUGUCCCCUUCUAACAUAAGGAGAAAUAAGGAGAAUCCAAGGGAGAGGGUGCAAAAUAUUUGAAGUUUUGGCAAUUAAAAUCUUAUGCUUAAAGAAAAAAGUUGAAGUGCAAUUUUGUAAAUUAAAAGUUUCAUAUUCUUACUUGGAAAGGUUCCUGAAAACUUUUGGAACCAAAAUGUUCCUUAUCUUACCACUUCAUUUCUUCCUUCUUGUCAACACUCCCAAAGUUAUCCUACAAUAGUGAAAAUAUUUGUUAAGUUAAUAACCAUAACAUAAACAAUGGUUAACUGUUAUUCUGUAACAAAGAUGAUGAAAAAGGGAAGUGAUUUCAUUCCUAUAGAAUUACAUUUUUCAGAAGCUAUUUGAUGUGAUGUUGUAGACAUUAGAUGACAGUUAAGAACCACGACAAAAGGUCCAAAUGCCUAGUCAUAAAAUGGACUACAUCGUUGCCUCGAUAAUUGCCCAUAUAUGAUCCAAUUUUUGCUGCUUAAUAUGACUUCACGAUUAUAUUUCAAAUGAACACAUAUUAUAGUCACAAAUUAUUUACUCCAAAUGUCUAAAAAAUAGAUUGUUACAUAUUCCAAUCGUCUGAUUAUUGUAAAAGGUUACUCUUAGAAGCUGAUGCCUGAAUAUCUGAGCUUUGUGAAAGGCAUUAUAGAAGAACUUCCUCUUAACAUAUCCAGAACAUGUUAUAGCUGAACUAGAUCUUGAAGGUUAUUUUCAAGAUUUUUGUGAAGAACUGUGAUGGGCUAUUCCUUUAAAUUGCAAAGAACAAAGAGGAUUAUAACAAGUUUUAUGACAUUUUCUCUAAGAACCUCAAGAUAUUGUCAGUAUCAGAAACCUUUACAACACUCAAAACAGUAAAGUAGAGGAAUAAGAACUAGAUUGCUUCUCAUAGGAAGAGUUUGUUCAAAUGGUAGUGAAAAAAUUCUUAAUGAUGCAAAUGACAUAUGAAAAGAGUUGUGUUCUUAUAACUAGUUACUGCUCCCUUCACUUAGGCAUUAGGUAACUCUAUGCAUUGUUGUCAAAGGCUCUCUUUCGAAUCUACAGUUCAAUAAGCAAAGUUCAUGCUACAAACUUGCAUAUACUUCAAAAACAAGAUUAUCAACUAGGAAUCCCACACAAUAUUUUUUUCUCUAGUUAUACACAUAGAAAACCACCAGUUGGUGAAGAAGUAUAAAAAGAGUAAUUCAAACAAAACAAACACUAAGAGAAUUAAGAAGAAAAAAAAAAUCAACGCUUAAAAGAAGACAUACCUAAGAAUCAAUUAGAUGAAAAUCAACUCAUAGACGAAGCUCUCUUGAUGACCUACAACCCGUGCUUUCUCUAUUUUGGGAAAGAGCAGAUGAAAACUAAGAGUAUUAGCAGAGUUUUCCCAGAGAAUUUCGAUUUACACAGCUGCUACAAAGAUUUUUGAUGAAAUCGAUUUAGGGCUUUUGUG